rnacentral:rRNA from 1 species
UACAGAGGCCUCAAGCGUUGUUCGGAUUCAUUGGGCGUAAAGGGUGCGUAGGUGGCGUCGUAAGUCGGGUGUGAAAUUUCGGAGCUUAACUCCGAAACUGCAUUCGAUACUGCGGUGCUUGAGGACUGGAGAGGAGACUGGAAUUUACGGUGUAGCAGUGAAAUGCGUAGAGAUCGUAAGGAAGACCAGUGGCGAAGGCGGGUCUCUGGACAGUUCCUGACACUGAGGCACGAAGGCCAGGGGAGCAAACGGG